rnacentral:lncRNA from 10 species
UUCUGUAACAUGGGGGGCACGGGUGGGGUGAGUGAGGCCCAUCCCUACGGGACACGCGCCUCCGCGUGACCUGCUGUGGGGAGGUGACCAGGCGAGAGGCUGGCUGCAGGCCAAGAGUACUCUGCCUCAGCCAGCCCGGCCCAGCUGUGGGGAAGGUGCCUGGCCUGGGAGCGGAGCAAGGGGUUUGUGUCUUCAUUCCACCACCAUCCUGGGACCUCAGGCUUCCACAGGACCCUGCUUGAGGACUCUGGCCGCUGCUGGGGCUUGAAGCUUACAAGGCUUCCCUUUGCGGACACGUCUAGUGCUUCCGCUCUCUUAGAAGCCUCUGCCCUGCUGGGACUGCAGGGGACAGGAGAAGGAUUGGAGGAAAUGACACCUCUCAGAGUGAGUGCCAGGGACUGCCAUGUCCUGCCAGACACACCCACGUGGAACUGCCCCCAGGACCUCAAGGCAGCUUUGCCCCUGCUGGACUAAGGAGAGGCCAGGCCAACCUCAGACCCAGGGAGAGGUACCCAUGGCCCUGGGACCUCAUGAGGAGGGGAAGCAGAAAGAGACGACCAUACCUUGGUGCUGCCAUGGAGAGUUGCCAGAUUAAAGAAACGGAGGAGAGCAAAAAGAGAGAGACAGCAGUGAGAAGCUUGCCGGGGUUGGCCUGGGAGGGAGAGCGGAGGCCUGCCGCGGAUGGCCCCUGCUGCCCCCAGCCCACCGCACCCCAGAGGUAGGCUCCCUCUCUCACACACCAUACACACACACACACACACACACACACAAAACCACCACCACCACACACACACACCACACCAUACACACCCACGCACGGCACACACACGUGCGUUCACAUGUGCCCAGGCACACACACGGCCCUGCCCUGUCCCUGAGCCGGCCCCAGGACUGUCCCUUGGGGAUGCUGAUACAAAUCCACUCGCUUUCGUCUAAAAGCAAACAAGCUGGCUCUGUGUCUGCCGGCACAUUCGCCU